GAACGCUGGCGGCGUGCUUAACACAUGCAAGUCGAGCGGAAAGGCCCUUCGGGGUACUCGAGCGGCGAACGGGUGAGUAACACGUGAGCAACCUGCCCUCAACUUCGGGAUAAGCCUGGGAAACCGGGUCUAAUACCGGAUACGACCUUGUGCCGCAUGGCGUGGGGUGGAAAGUUUUUUCGGUUGGGGAUGGGCUCGCGGCCUAUCAGCUUGUUGGUGGGGUAGUGGCCUACCAAGGCGACGACGGGUAGCCGGCCUGAGAGGGCGACCGGCCACACUGGGACUGAGACACGGCCCAGACUCCUACGGGAGGCAGCAGUGGGGAAUAUUGCGCAAUGGGCGGAAGCCUGACGCAGCGACGCCGCGUGGGGGAUGACGGCCUUCGGGUUGUAAACCUCUUUCAGCAGGGACGAAGUUGACGUGUACCUGUAGAAGAAGCGCCGGCUAACUACGUGCCAGCAGCCGCGGUAAUACGUAGGGCGCGAGCGUUGUCCGGAAUUAUUGGGCGUAAAGAGCUCGUAGGUGGCUUG
rnacentral:rRNA from 1 species